CGUCGCCCCAGCCCCAGCGCCGCUCCCACCCACAGGCAGGCACACGGGCGGGCGGUCAGGCGCUCCUUCGCACGCACCGCCCGCUCACCUUCCCCCGCACGCCCCGGCCCCACCGCCCGGGCGGCGCAGGAAGCCCCGCCGGCCUCCACCGCUCCCGCUCCACGCCGCGGCUCCCGCGGUGAUAAAGUGCAGUUUUCUCUUGGCAGCCUAUGAACCUCUUCACUUCAGUGUCUGACCCUUUCCCCACUGCACCUCACUAACAGCCUCUGCUCCCAGCACCUCUUCCAAGCUUCAAAGUUCGAGGCAUCUUCAAAUUGCUGCUCGGCCUGUGUUCUGCUCAUGAAUCAUCCAUGAAACUGGGACAUGAUCCCUGCUAUUGACUCUUCAGGACUCAAAAGAUGAGAGAGCUCUGGAGCAUCCUGAGCCACUGAGUUUGUUGCUGUUAUUUUUUGAACCAGAAUUAUGGCACUGGUCAGAGGAGAGGUGUGCAGGCGGGCGUUUAUAAUCCUAAAUGGAUCUCUUUGCAUUUCCGUUUGCAAUUUGGUCUUUUAAAAGAAUCACCGGGCCAUGAUGACAAGGGCAUAACAAAUGUAAAUACAGCCAAAAGCAUUGUUUGGUGCACAGCAAACUUUUGCCUUAAUACAAACCUAAGGAAGAAUACAUUCACUGUGGUAACUGAUUUGCCAGAGCUAAUGAACCUGACUCAACUCUUCAGUUUGAUUUGUCUUUUUAACGUACUUGGAAGCUGGGGACCUUAUGACCUCUCAGGGAAAUUAAUACUCUUAAAGCUCUCAUGUCUGGACUUUUCUGUCAAAACAAUGUUGUCAUUGAGCUAUUGCUCUUUCUCUUACAGGGCAAAAUUAAACUCCAAAGCCAAUAAGAUCCUCAGUGGAGUUUGCUCAGUUUGUUUGUUGUUUUUUUAACUAAUCAUAGAAAUCUCAAAAUGCCAAAUCAAUAUCUUUUAAUUAAAAAUUGUAAAGAAACACAUAAAUGGACCUGUGAAAUCAGGCAGUUUGUCUGACAGCUGCAAGCAAAAUUCAAGUUUCUUUACUCCCAGGCAUGUGGGCAUAUGCAUAAUUUUAUUUUUUUUUUUAAUGUCCAAUGUGAGAAGCUUUACAUACAUUUACAGAAGAGAACAUGUAGGAGAUUUUGAAAAAGACAAAUUGCAAUUAGGAGCUAAAUUCUCACAGUCAGUGAAAGAUCUCCUGUGUGAUUGAUGGUUAAUCUGCAUAUUUAUCUUUUCUUCCAUAGCUGUUAAAUUUCCUAUUUAUGUUUAAAUUCAUGUUUUCUGUUUUAAUUCGUAUUUUUUGUUUCUUCUCCAUAUGUGUGUGAGGAUGCUUUAGCCUCAAUUUGUAGAAACUGUGUUUAAGACACUAUGCUGCCUCUUUGAAUGUCUGAGACCUCUCUGAAUCUUCAAAUACUUAAGCUCAUCAAACACAUUUGAGAGGUAUUGAAAUCCAAAAACUAUUAAGCCCUUAAAAGUAUUCUGAAAAUAGGCAGCCGGUUAAGAGCUGCAGUUAAUGCUUCACUGAGGUAAAAAGUGCAGCACUUCAUGAGAGACCUCAAAGUCCAGACAGGGUCUCAACCUCAAGACACAAAUCCAUACAAAAUCAGGCUUCAUUGAUCCCCAAUGCUCACAGAACUGCUACAGAAGUGUGUGUGGCAGAGAUACAGUUCUACCGCAUGUACAUCCCUCUAGUGUCUACUCAGCUUUCAAAUGAGCGAGCUACUGUAAUGCAAUGACUUUCUCGUAUUAUCAUUUGCAAAAAGGGAUAUUUGCAUAAAUGUGCACACAGAUAUUUCAGGUCGCCUUUUGUUUUAAUUACAGUGUCAGUAUCUCUCACUGUCUCCACGUGAACAGACCCUAGCCUCACAUAAUGUCUUUGAUGAAGGAAAAAUACAAAACCACACGCCAAAUAUCUUGAGUGUCUAGAAUAAACCUGGAUCCAUGUUGACAAGCUUUUCCCAGGGAUAGUAACAUCAGUAAAAUCUUUUCAUUCCAAUUUCCUGAGAGAUUGGAAAAAUCAACAAAAGAAUGAGAUUGAUUGCCAGAAAUAAUAUUAACAUUUUAAACAUGAAACCAUCUCACAACAUGAGUAUUGAAACGAUGUAAAACAAUUUCUUUAAUUUGUUUUCUUUGUGUUUGUUCUGGUUUUUGCUUUGUUUUAAAUGUGCCUGAUUUUUUCCACUGAAUAAGAGCAUCACAGCCGUUGAACAGAAAUAGGGAGCCAGAUGACUGGAAGAGAAAAUCACAUCUGACUGGGGAGUCAGUAGACAGUCUCCACUGCGCAAGGGAUGGUGUAGGUUUGCUUAGUGGCUAGAUAGGUUUCUUUGGUUUUGUUAAGAAUAACACUUCCUUCUAGUAAAUGGAGUGAAGUACAGCCAGACUAGCACUAGCAGAGGUAAUAAGGCUGUGGACAAAUCCAGGUGACUUUGUCCUUUCCUUUUGGGUGGUGGUAGAGCAGGGAGGGCUCACUCCAGCACAUCUGUGUAAGGCCAGGAAGAUACUACCAUCCACAUCUGCCAUUGCAGGAAGGCCAGCAAACAUAUGCCUGUAUAAGGGUAUAAUAAAUGGCUUUUGAAGGGAUCAACACAAGGGCAUUUUCAAUUCUGUGUCCAGAGUUACAGCCUGAUCAGCCCUCAAGUCUCACUCCAACAGCCCUCCUGGGAUUCCUGACUGUUCAGUUAUCCUGUGGGACAUCUGUUCAAAGGGGCUGUAGGAAAAUACAAUCAAAGCAAUCUUGUCUUCAAGGAAGUAGCAGAUUGCAGGGGAAGGGUUGGGAAAGGAGAGAUGCCUGACCAAAACCCUGUGCUGAGAUAUCUAACACACCUCGAGAAAAGAAGAAAUUGUCUGUGUCCUGCCCAUACCAAUCUCUUCCCACUUCAGUCCCCUCUAACUGUUUACAAGCACCCCUGGAGAUUUCUGAAAAGCAACAGGAGUCAGGGAGUUAAAGAAAUUGGGAUAGCAAACCAGUUUGCCCUAGGAUGACAACUGGUAGAUCCAGUUGAGACCAUCCAUGGAAAAUAAUGGAUGUUGGCUUGUAGAGAGGUGGGUUUUAGUGGAACCUUACUACAAAGGUGUACAUCUACAUGAGACCACUACUAGCUCUGGAGUCUGCAUGCAUUUAGCUGCCUGAAAUGUGUUUAGGUUACCUGGAGCACCCAGAACAGUAAAACAAGACACCCAUGAUCCAGUCUCCGAACAAGCCACAUCAGCAGCCAUGUAAAACCUGCUGGAAGAGAGUCACAGUAAACACACAGCAUUGUACUUGCAAAAGACAUAAGAUGAAUUUGCCUUGCCUUCAAG